GAUGAACGCUGGCGGCGUGCCUAAUACAUGCAAGUCGAGCGAACGGACGAGAAGCUUGCUUCUCUGAUGUUAGCGGCGGACGGGUGAGUAACACGUGGAUAACCUACCUAUAAGACUGGGAUAACUUCGGGAAACCGGAGCUAAUACCGGAUAAUAUUUUGAACCGCAUGGUUCAAAAGUGAAAGACGGUCUUGCUGUCACUUAUAGAUGGAUCCGCGCUGCAUUAGCUAGUUGGUAAGGUAACGGCUUACCAAGGCAACGAUGCAUAGCCGACCUGAGAGGGGGACGGCCCCACUUGGAAUGGGAACCGGGCCCAACCCCCACGGGGGGGCAGCGGAGGGGAUUUUUCCGCAGGGGGGGAAACCCUGAGGGGGAAACGCGCGGGAGGGGAAGAGGUUUUUGGGUCGGUAAACCUUUUUUAUUGGGGAAAAACAAAUGGUAAAGUAAUGGGGCAAUUUUGAAGGGUACCAAACAAAAAAGCCAGGGCAAACUCGGG
rnacentral:rRNA from 1 species